CCCUUAGAUGUUCUGGGCAGCACGCGCGCUACAAUGGUCUUCGCAAACGGAUGCAUUCUCGAAGGAGAAUGCCAAUCUUGGAAUCUAUGCCUUGGUCGGGACAGUUGCUUGCAAUUUUUCGACUCGAACCAGGAAUUCCUUGUAAUCGUGAUUCAUCACAUCACGAUGAAUACGUCCCUGCCCUUUGUACACACCGCCCGUCGCUCCUACCGAUCGAGGAGUUAGGUGAAUUGUUUUGAUCGAUAAGAUUUGACUAUGGUCAACUCUCGUUGUGAAAUUCUGUGAAUCUGACUGUUUAGAGGAAGGAAAAGUCGUAACA
rnacentral:rRNA from 1 species